UACGUAGGGUGCAAGCGUUAAUCGGAAUUACUGGGCGUAAAGCGUGCGCAGGCGGCUUUGCAAGACAGAUGUGAAAUCCCCGGGCUUAACCUGGGAACUGCAUUUGUGACUGCACGGCUAGAGUGCGGCAGAGGGGGAUGGAAUUCCGCGUGUAGCAGUGAAAUGCGUAGAUAUGCGGAGGAACACCGAUGGCGAAGGCAAUCCCCUGGGCCUGCACUGACGCUCAUGCACGAAAGCGUGGGGAGCAAACAGG
rnacentral:rRNA from 1 species